rnacentral:rRNA from 1 species
AAAACGACUCUCGGCAACGGAUAUCUCGACUCUCGCAUCGAUGAAGAACGUAGCGAAAUGCGAUACUUGGUGUGAAUUGCAGAAUCCCGUGAACCAUCGAGUCUUUGAACGCAAGUUGCGCCCUAAGCCUUCUGGCCGAGGGCACGUCUGCCUGGGUGUCACAAA